GAAAAUUGAGACUUGGACCUAGAACGGAAAGAAAUUGAUUUAUGGACGAGUAUGUCCUUUUCACAUUUGUGGUAUCGAGAGUUCCAGGUUAGCUCGGGUUGGAGGCCGUCGGAGAUAUUAUCACCCUAUCGAGUUAACGUUAUCGAGAUAAGUAAACUCAAGUGAUUCGAGUCUAUGGCAUGUAUAGGGUUUUAAUGUGAGUAUGUAAUAUUAUGAUUUAGCCAAAGGCAUUGGCUUGUUAUUAAGGUAGUAUUAGUCAUGUAAAUUGGCCUAUGUCGGCUAAUGACGUUAUGGGCCCAUAUGAUUAUUCUUAUGCAUUUAUGUUAUUAUUUCUUGUGAUGUGGCUUACAACAUGUAUGCCUAGAGAUUGAAUUGAGAUUCAUUGAUGAGCUAGUAACUAAUGCAGGAUUAAGUGAUUGGUAAAUAGUUAAUAA